UACGUAGGUGGCAAGCGUUGUCCGGAAUUAUUGGGCGUAAAGCGCGCGCAGGUGGUUCCUUAAGUCUGAUGUGAAAGCCCACGGCUCAACCGUGGAGGGUCAUUGGAAACUGGGGAACUUGAGUGCAGAAGAGGAAAGUGGAAUUCCAAGUGUAGCGGUGAAAUGCGUAGAGAUUUGGAGGAACACCAGUGGCGAAGGCGACUUUCUGGACCGUACCUGACACUGAGGCGCGAAAGCUAGGGGAGCAAACAGG
rnacentral:rRNA from 1 species